rnacentral:lncRNA from 1 species
UGCCCAGGGUACUCUAUGAAAAAUUCUUUACAUAUCCUUUAUCAGAAACAACCAUGUGUUUGCAGUUUGCAGAUCAGACGAUAAGUUUUCCAAAAGGAAUAUUGAAGAACCUUUGUGUCCGAGUUGGUACCUUAUACGCCCCAGCAGACUUCGUAGUGAUAGAGACCGGUAAUGAUGAGAGGGCACCCAUCAUCUUAGGGAGGCCAUUCUUGAACACCUCGGGAGCUGUCAUCUACGCUAGUGCUGCCAAGAUCAGUUUCUACAUCAAAGGGAAGAAGGAGAUGUUUUCCUUCAAGAGCAAGACUACACAAAUCCCAGAGCAAUCUCGACAUGAACCGAGGAAGAGAACCAACAGGAGGAACAGGAACAAGCAAGUGUGGACCGAGUCAGCUAAGAUGGUCACUGCAGUUCAUGGAGGUCAAGAUCAUCGACUUAAGUCACCGUUUCUGACCAAGAAGGACGACCCAGGAAUGCCAAGCAUCUACUGCUCCAUCAAUGGGUACAACUUCUAUAAGACGACUUGCGACAACGGAUCAGACGUCAACAUAAUGGCCGCAGUCACCUAUCGGCUUUUGUUCGGAACCAUGCCCUUAAAACCAAUAUACAUUCAGCUCCAGAUGGCAGAUCAGACAUUUUGAGAGGAUGAAGGUAUAGUAACGGAUGUCCCUGUCAAAAUAGACGAUCAUUUUGUCCAUACAGACUUUCAGGUUAUUGACAUGGGAGAAGACGAAUACGAUCCACCCAUCAACCUUGGAAGACCGUUCCUCAGCACCAUUAAAGCAAUCAUCUACAUUGGAACUGGAGAAGUCCAUAUGCACUUCCCGUCAGAGAAGGUACGCCGCUAUUUUACUAACCCUAACUAUAUCAUUGAAGACUCUAAGCAGGUCAGAAAAUGACGCAACCGCAACCAGAGGAGGCAGAUCAUCAAGGACGGAUGGGCAGACUACGAAGGAGAAGUGAUAAGGUCAGAAGACAUACAGUUUAAACAGAAUUAUCCAGAGGAGAACGUAGCACCGAGUCAGGUGUGGAAAGUGAAGAUAACUAUACACGAAGAAGAGGCGCCGCCGGAAGCACCGACUCCGCCAUCCAACGAAUCCUAGGACAACUAGAAAACGGAGUGUCCCGUUCGGAGGACUUAAAAACACUGAACGCCUUGCCAAGAGGUAAACUUGGUAGUUAUCCUUUCCCUUUUUAAUUAUUUUAAACAGUUUGCGUAGUUAAUCAUGUUCAUACUAUCCUAAAAAGAAAAUAAAAAUGAUAAAAAAAUAGUAAGCCCCAUGUAAGUAUACGAGUGGCAUGAAACCCAUAAGUACAUUCACUGUGGUGGCAUAAAAAUAAAAUAAAUAUUUCUUUUCUACUCUAUAAAAUGAAAAAUAUAAAAAUAGAGAGUAAUAUUUAUUGAGGAAGCUCGACAUGAUAAAGGCUAGAUAUUUAUGCUAACACUUAAUCAGUUCCACAAAGCUGUGUUGUCUAUUUGAGCUCCACAGAAUUUAAGAAUUGAGAAGACUAGCAGACGGAGGACAUUCUAAUGGCUGUCAAGAUACUGCCGACUUUCAAAUACACCUCUGCCACCUGCUAGCUACAUCAAAAGAAAUUACGUCAAAAUUCAGCUUGGGGGAGAGCACCCCCAUUUAUCUCGCUAUGUAUUUCUAUCUUUAUACUUACACUUAUAUAAAUAUACAUAACUAUGGAAAACCAAAUAAAGAUUUUAUGCUUAUAUAUAUAUAUAUCUUUUGCUUAGUGUGUUUAAUAAAUAAAUAAAGUGGCUAUGCUAAACUGAAUCUUCAUAAUAAAACUCUAGCAUGGAUAUGAUGAAUAGUUGCUCUGCCUAAUUUUUAAAAAUUUGAAGUUCUCAAUCAAGUUUAGACAUAACUGUUAUAAUUUAAAGCUUGCUCUAAAUAUGAACUUGUGGGAAGAAAACUUGAUCUGAAGUCUAAGUUGUUAACGGAUAUGAUAUGGGAAGGUUGAGCUGCUGUUUAUCUGUUCCUAGAGAUGCUAGAAUUAUGGAGAAUUUUAUCUUUGAAAAUCUUUAAAAUAUUGCAUGAUGAGUUCCUGUAUAAUGAAAGUUUAAAUUCCUACCACAGCCAAAUAUAUAUACAUGCUUGCUAGACUUUGAGCCACACAUUUACUUUUACUAAUUAUGAGCAUUGAGUGUGGUCAAGCUGUGUAGACCCUUAGUAGCUUGUCAUGCGGUUAAAAUCAAGAUUCACUUACACGUUCACUCACACAUGCUGCUUCUACUCCGGAAGUACGCAUCCACAUAUAUCCAUUCAUUUCCAUCUCCAGAACCACCCAAAAAUAUUCUACUCCUAAUCCGGAAGAGAAUAGCCAAAAAUAUUUCUAUUUUUCCCCUGUGAAACAAAUGCUCAAUUUAUCUUGGUUACUACCACUUGCUAUAUUAUUUUAGGAGAUGGGUGCUCUAAAAAAAGAGCUACGAGGAAAUAAAAAGGGGCAAGUGCCCGGAACCUCGAAAGAAAAGAAAAAGUAAGACGAGAGGUAAAAAUGGACAAGUGUCCGACAGUAGAAUUAGGGGUACAAGAUACCCACCUCAGAGGAAAGAAAAAGGAAAAUAUAGAGCAUCUCAUUGUCAUCACAAAGUUUCAAAGAGCAAGGAAGGUUUGUAUCCCCUCAAAGAGCAAAAGUAGAAUUAGACUUUCACCAUUGUUAUCACCAUCAUCACCAUAUACCAUUCGCCACACAUGCACAUCUUGAUUUGGCUUAUUGAUUUGUUUCUUUGGAUCCAUGGUUUGACUAUACAAUAAAUAUCUUGUGAGUAUGUAUAUUUUAUCUCCCACCUAUGAGCUCCAGAUAUUAAAGCCUUAUUAGAGUAGGAUGAGAGAGAAGGCAAUGUCAUUAUACCACAAAUACUACAUACUUUGAGAGAGAAGGCAUAUACCAUCAAUGCCUUGGUAAGGAUCCAGAAAUACCACAAAAGAGAGAUCUAAGAGAGUCAUACAAGGAAUCUCUGAGUUUUAUUUAAAAAUCUGCAAAAACUCCAGAGCUAUAGCUGAUCAAGAAUAAGAAACAUGGCACUUGAUUAGACCGUUCUAUCUUUUAACUACUCAAGAUAGAAGUGACAGUUACAAGUCCCAUGGUGAAAGGUAAAGUAAGUAAGUUUUAAGUCGUGACAGUUUACUCUAACUCAGAGAUGAGAUCUUAUUUAAAAGCAUGUGUACCGUCAAUUUUCAAAGGCAUUACAACAACUUCUGAUCCAUCGCUGAGAUUAUCCUUGCUCAGGGACGAGCAAGAGGUAAGCUUGGGGGAGUUUGUUGACGGUGCUUAAGUAUCAAAUUUAAUUAUCAAAUAAACAAAGAAAAGGAUCCAAGUGAAAUCAACAUCCAGACUUAGGGUUUUAUCUGACAGAAUUCCAUGAGUUUUGGUGUUUGUCUAUUUCUGUAGGGGGUUAUCACGAAAUACGGAAGAAAGGCCACAUGUCAGGAUUACAUAGAGAUAUCAACGUGCCGCGCAAUUAUCUUACAUCUAGAAGACUCCAGAAGCCACGAGAACGAAGCGGAGGCAGAACGGGGCCUAGCCCAGGGCGCCCGCCCUAGGACCAGGGCGCCCGCCCCCCUUUAGAGUUCAAUCAGGACUCUCUUUCAGGAUUACGCUCCACCGACCUAAAGGAUCAAGGAUAACCGUUCAAUCAAUGUCGGUUUGAUCCGACGGCCCAUAUUCACUUGGAAGGACUAUAAAACCAGACCCCUGGCCCUUGGAGGAGGGCACCUCUCAACCCUAAUUCAUUAUUCAUCAAGGGAGAAGAAGCCUCUGAUCAAGCCUAGAGCCACCACAUCAAUUAGACAUCUAGAUUAGCAUAGCUACAUAGGAUUAGAACUAGAAGGAGUCAAUCUUCGAUUGGUUUCUGGAUCUGUCAAGAGGAUUCUUAGUAAUUCUCUAUUGUUCUUCAAUUGUUCAUCUUUGUUCUUCGAUAUUAUGAAUAUGACUUUGUUCUACUUCAAUAUAUUGAUUAUGCCUUUGCUCUAGUUAGAUUGGAUUUAUAUACAUGUUUAGGAUCGUAUAGCAUUUAUCCAUCGAAUCUAUGGGUAAAUGAUAGAUAUUGUGUAGGCAUGGUGCUUAUACCGUAUUUAUCUGCGAUUGUACCCUAUAUGCCAGAUCGUGGGGUAGUUCGUGGUAGUGACAGCUCCAUUGAUUCCUAUAUAGUCUCCCUCUCGUGUAUUGGGCUGGCAGAGCAACACUAUUAUAGGGGAGUGAUUACGAUGUUUCUCAUAUUCCUUGCUAAUAUCACUAUGCAUGGGCGUAGUCUUGUCUCGCAAUGAUUGCUAAGUAUAAUUGCACUAACUAUGAUAUGCUAGACUGUAUAGUUAAGAAUAACUUAGGAAAUAUUCUAGUAGUUCGUUCUAAUACCAUGCUAAUGACUUGCUAGAAUAUCUAAUUGAGGUGCUUAUCAUAUUUAUAUGUGGCUAAGUUAUGCUAAUCAGAUUAAUUAUCUUUGUCACUAUUCAUUACUUUAUAUAUCCUUUAUGUGACACUCAUCCGUGCAUGAAAGAGUUAGAUAAAUGUUCUCAAUUAUACAUACAAUGAUAGAUACUCAAUCUUAUAUUCCAUUCUAUAAUCAACAUUGAUGAUUGCUAAUCCCUUCCCAGUGGUAAAAAUAUAAAUGACAAUACCUGGAAUACUUUCCGGUUAAAAUGCUACAUCGGUAUUAAUCUGUGCGCUUGCAGAUCCCAUUUGUUAUUUAUUUAGAUGAGCAAUUGCAUAUUUCAAUACCGCGUUAUGUCAUGCUGGGGAUGACAACUUGGCUUAAGUGGCAUGAGGGAUAGGUUUGGCAUUUUUGGCGCCGGUAUCAGAAUUAGAAAACUAAGUCUACUUUUGGUAUUUACGUUAAGAAUGCCCAAUAAUCAGCAGGAGCAAAUGGAUCAAGACAGGUAUAGCAUUUGGGUUUUCUUUCUGUGACCAUGAUCUUGGGACUUUAUUAAUGUUAAAGCAACGAAUGAUAAAAAUGACUUUUUAGCAACUUGAAGAUUUAUCUGUACAUGAUCACCCAGGAUUGAAGUGCAACCAUGAGGGCUAUAAUGGCUCUAGCUUUAGUCAAGUAUGAGUAACUUUUCUAGCUCGUUAGUAGUUACCUAUGUGACGCAAAUGGGGGAUAGUAGACCGUGGAUCCCUACGUUGUAGAAUCACACGGACUGACUAAUGAAACCAAGCGGCCCUAACUUGUUAGACGAACCUUUGAGAGACUUCAUAGUGAUCCCUGUCGACCUCCCUAGAAAGGGGGUUAAGAGAUUAGCUACCUCGGGUGAAAGGGUAAAUCAUGACUCAUGGGUAAAGAUGUACGACCUCUGCAGAGUGUUUAUUAAACUGGUAUUCUAGUCGUGCUCAUAGUCAUGAGCGGCCUUGGGGACAUAUACAUUAAAGGUGAUGAUUCUCAUUGUGUUAAGAUACUCAUUGUUUAUUGUUUAAUGCUCUACAUUAUUUAUGUCACAUUGAUCAUGAGAUUGUGGGAUCUAUAUAAUCAUAUUGCUAUACUUGUGGAGUUUGACAUGGACUCACUCUUGCUAUUUCCCCCAUACUGAUCAACCAGUCAGUUUGGAUCAUGUAGAGUGAAGUUAAUGCCCAAACUUUGGAGUUAUCUUCCAUUAUAUGCUGUCUAAGGUCAUCUCUGAUUGAUUAUGUAUGUUAUAUUAUUUGUGCAUUAUCUUUUGAUAUUACACCUUAUUUGUAACUAUAUGUGAGAUUUGACCUCUAAGACUCACAUAUGGUGUACAUCUGGUUUUGUCCUCAAAAUCAGGUAUUACAUUGCGUCUUUAAUUUAUUUCUACAUUAGAAAAGAAAAUAAAAAUAUGUUUUGCAUUGCAUCUAUAAAAUUACUAAGCCCCAUGUAUUUAAUAUGUGAUGCAAUAGCUCAUGUACUUAUCUACUGUAGAGGCACAAAAAUAAGUUUUAGCAUAUUUAUUUUCCUAUCUGCAUACCAUAAAUAUGAAAAGCAUAAAAAUAUAUUGAUCCUGCUAAAAGAUAAAUGGGUAUAAGAAAGUUCUAGUCUCCCAAAGCUUAGAGGUUUAUCACAACGCUUAAUCAAUUCCACAAGCUUUGUUGUCUAUUUGAGGUUCACAGGCUUUAAAGGAUCAAGAAGAACUAACAUGCAGAACGAUGUCCUAUCCCCUAAGUACUGUCCACACCAGACAAGUGUUGUUUUUUACAGUAAAUGCCCAUGACACUCCAAGAGGAUCAAUAUGCCUUCACUGCCUAUCAGCAACCCCAGCAGACCAUGUCAACAUCCAGCUUGGGGGAGAGCACCGCCCAUAUACCAAGCUAAGUAUCUCUCACUCCAUAUAUUCCUAGUGCAUUAUGACAAGAUAAAAAGAUGAAUAAUCUUAGAAACCCAAUAAUAUUUUAUCUUUCAUAAUUAGUUUUUGCUAGCUAAGGAGAGCUCUUAAUUGAUUAUGUUAAAAUAAACCUCUAGAAUAAACACUUAUAUGGAGAUGAUGAAUAGUUGCGAUGCUGUAGUUCCUUGCAAGUACCUAGUUUUCAACCUUGCACUCUCUUGAGUUUUGGACACAAUUGUUUAGACUUAAGAUUUUGCUCUGAGCCUAGAACUUAUGGGUAGGAAAUGCUUGAUCUAAGUCUAGGUAGUUGAAAGAUAUGAUAUGGGGAGGUUUUGAGAUGCUAUCUGUCUUGCUCCUAGAGAUGCUAGAGUUCUGGAGAAUUUUAUUUUAAAAAUCUUAAAUUGCUACAUGAUGAGUUCCUUUAUGACACGAGUUAAAAUUCCUACCAUAGCCAAAUACUCAUGCUUACUAGAAUAGGAAAACCUUCCACUUAUAUUUCAACAUAUAAGCAUUGAGGGUAGUUAAGCUGUGUAGACCCUAAGGAACUAAUCAUGUAGUUGAAGUCAAUAUUAUGUGCUCUCCAUCCAUUGAUCCUAACUACUUCUAUCCCCAGAAGUAUGCAACCACUUGCUUCCUCCAUAUUCACUAUGUGCUACUUCUGUUCCUCGAAGUACCACCCACAUAUACGCACUACACUCUGUGUUGUUUCUAUCCUAGAGACACACACCUAUGUUGCUCCUACCAUGGGAGUAUGCAUUCAUUCACUCAUUCAUAUUCCACAUCCACUUAGAAAAUGUUCUACUCCUACACUGGGAGAAGACACCCAAAGAUAUUCAUUAUGUCUUUUUCUACUAAAGCACAAGUUAUUUCAGUUGAUACUCUCUACUAUUAUCAGUGCAUUAAAAGGGUUCGCUGAUUUUUUUUAAAAAAAAGAGAAAAGAAAAGAAAUGAAAGAGGAAAAAAGUCCUAAAAGAAAAGAAAGACAGCCAAGUCCUUAUUAGGGAGGUAUGUUAUCCCCAAGGAGCAAAUGUAGGAUUAGAUAUUCACCAUCAAUCAUCACCCCCCAUUUUUUAUCAUUCUUAUCAUUCACUUCAUUCACUACACUCACAAGCACAUAUGAUUUGAUUGUAUAAUUAGUUUCUCUAGAUUCAUGGUUUAACUAUGCAAUACAUGCAAGUAGGUUUGAAUUGUCUUUUCCACCUAUGAGCUCCACAUAAGCCAAUUAGAAGUAGAGUGAGAGAGAGAAGGCAGUUAUGUCUUAGUGAUAUAAAUACCAUAUUCUAAGAGAAGGCAUAUUCACUUGCCUUGGAGAGGAUCCAAAAAUACCACAUUUAAGAGACUAGAAAGGGUCAUACAAGGAAUCUCUAAGUUUUAUUUGAAAAUCUUACAAAACUCUUGAAUAAUAGUUGAUCAAAGAGUGAGUAAUAUAGCGCUUGACUUAACCGUUCUGUCUUUCAACUUCUCAAGACCUAAGUGAUAGCUAUAAGUCCCAUGGUGAAAGGUAAUAUGAGUGAGUCUUGAGUUAGAAUAGUUCACUCUAAUCCAGAGAAGUGUCCUUGUUUGCAUGCAUGUGUACCUGUGAGGUGUGGAAGUAUCAUAGCAACUCUUGAUCCAUUAUUGAGUCUAUCUUUGCUCAGGGACGAGCAAAAGGUAAGCUUGAGGGAGUUUGCUAACGGUAGAUAAGUACUCUUUUUAACCAUCAACAUAGCAUGAGAAAGGACUAAAAUCAUAAUACUCUAGCUAUAGGGGUUAUCACUAACAGAAUUCCAUAAGUUCUGGUGAUUGUCUAUUUCUGUAGGGUGUCAGCUAAAAAUAACCAAAGAUGGUCCACAUGUUAGGUUUACAUAGAGAGAAUACCAAGAACGUCAACUUUUCUAUAAUCUAGAAGGUUCCAGGAGGCUCCAGAUCAAACGGGAAGCAAAUUGGGUCCAGUAGCCGGGCAGCCGCCCGGAGGGCUUGCGUGCCCGCCCGGAUAUGUGCACCAAUCACAGCCAACCUCACAGAUCCUGCCUCCACUGGCUUUGAGGAGUAAUCUAGAGCACAUGUUUAAGUCAGUUUGAUCCAAGGGCUGUGGUGCUUCCUAAGGGGCUAUAAAUACAAGCCUGACCCACCCACAGGGCAUCUCCUUCAUCUCCUUCAUCUUCUUCAUUAGCUACAUCCAGAGCAAAAACUAGGGUUUGAUCAAGUAGAGAAGUAGAGGUCCCUCUACAUCUUCUAGUUCUAGUUCUAGUUGUCUAGUUGUAUCUAGAUUAGAGAGAGAGAGAAGAGGAGAGAGCCAAGGAGAAGCUGGAUCUGUCGGAUCUUCCUCAACAUUGUAUAUUUGCAGCAGAUAGUUCGUCUUUGGUUAAUCUCCAGGUACUUUAGUUCUGUAAUUCAUAAGUUCUUAUUUAAUCUUCAUAUUUACUUUUAAGUUAUUUAUUGAUUCUCGCUCGCAUCGAGUGCUCUAGUUCUUAGCGGUGCUAGAGUAGUAAUUAAUAGGUUCAGCGUGGUGCUUAGUCUUGAAAUACCUAGAAUUGCACCCAAUCUAGCGUAUUGUUGUGGUAGUCCUAGGAUUGUGAUAGUCCUGAUGGCUGACGUAUUCCACCACGUUCGGAUUGGUGUUGUAGGACCGUAGUCAGAGCUUCCUAGCCCCUAUCUCAUCUCUUUCUGUGGUUAGUGUUCUAAUGUCUCGAAAUAAAUAACCUUAGAGUAAAUUCUGAUUCCUAGAUCAACCUAUAGAACGCUUAAGAAAAUUCUUCUCUACCCUACAAAAUUAUAAAUAUAGUUAUCCUAGGGCGAUCUAAAGCUCAACUAGUAUACUUUGUGUUCCCCAUGGAAAAUCGAUACCUUGGAAUACUCCUGGGUGAAAGUGUUGACGGUCCUUAAGUAUCAAAUAUAAUCAACAAAUAAAUAGAGAAAAGGACCUAAAUGCAACCGACACCCAGACUUAGGGUUUUAUCUGAUAGAAUUCCACGAGUUUUGGUGCUUGUCUAUUUCUACAGGGGGUUAUCAGGAAAUAUGGAGGAAAGGCCCACACGUCAGGUUUACAUAGAGAUAAUUACGUGCCGCGCAAUUUUCCCUAACCUAGAAGAGUCCAGAAGCCACGGGAACGAGCGGGAGGCCGAGCGGGCCCGGGGACAGGGCGCCCGCCCUCCCCCCUUGGGCGCCCGCCCUGGCUCAGCAGCCAAUCAGGUUGAGUCUCAUGGAUCAUGCUCCACCGACCUAUGGGAUUAAGGAAAACCGUGUGAUUAAGGUUGGUUUGAUCCUGGAGAGGAGGACCUCUAAAACCCUAAUUCAUUCAUUCAUCUCAAGAGAAGAAGUCUCUGAUCAAGCCCUAGAGCCACCACAUCAACUAGAUCUCUAGUUUAGCAUAGCUACAUAGGAUUAGAACUAGAAGGAGUCAAUCUUCGAUUGGUUUCCAGAUCUACCAAGAGGAUUCUUGGUAAUUCCUCUAUUGUUCUUCAUUUGUUCAUCAUUGUUCUUCAAUAUUAUGAAUAUGACUUUGUUCUACUUCAAUAUAUUGAUUAUGACUUUGCUCUACUUGUUUAUAUUUGCAAUUAUAUCGUUCUUAGUUUAUCAUAGUUAUAUGCUUGGCUUAGUUAGAUUGGAAUUAUAUACAUGUUUAGGAUCGUAUAACGUUUAUCCAUGUGUAAAGUGGGUAAAUGAUAAGUAUUGUGUAGGCGUUCUUAGUUUAUCAUAGUCCCCCUCCCGUGUAUAGGGCAGGCAGAGCAACAUUAUUACAGGGGAGUGAUUGCUAUGUUUCUCAUCUUCCUUGAUAAUAUCACUAUGCAUGGGUGUAGUCGUGUCUCGCAAUGAUUGCCAAGUAUAAUUGCACUAACAAUGAUAUGCUAGACUUUAUAGUUAUGAAUAACUUAGGAAAUAUUCUUGUAGUUCAUCCUAAUUUCAUGCUAAUGACUUGCUAGAAUAUCUGUUGAGGUGCUUAUCAUUAUUAUAUGUGGCUAGUUAUGCUGAUCUAUAACACCCCGAAAUUUCUAUUUUGGGUUGUUAUUAGAAAAUACUAAAUAAAAUGAAUGGUUUUAAUAUACGAAUAAAAUUUGCCAACAAUAGUUUAGAUUUUUAUAUAUUUUUAUCAAAGAAAUGUGGUGCUUUUCAAAUGUUUUGUAUUUAAUUAGACGAGCUUUAGUUGAUGUGAUGCUUGCUUGUUGCUUGAGUUUUGUGUUUUUGAGUGUGCUAGGUUUCAUAAAUGCGUUUAGACACCGUUCGGUCCUUCCCGAGAAUUUUCCAAAACUUUUUCAGAACUUUUCCCAUUUUCCUAGAACAAAAUCUAUUUUUUAUAUGCUCUAAAAUUCAUUUUCAUGGACACCAAAAACUUUAUUUGGAUUGAUCAACUCUCAAUAUAUCUCUAAAAGUUUUCUUUAAUUUUUAGAAUUUUGGAAAUAUUUUUCAGGGCUUUAAAAUGAUUUCAGCUUUUUCUGAAAUUAUUUUUGAACUAAAAAUAAAUUUCUAAAAAUCUCGUAAUUAAUAAUUUUUGAAAUUUUUCCAAACCCUAGACCUAUAUAUAUGCCGGCGUAGCCCUCGGCGCGCUGAUUACAGAAGUACGAUCGCUUUCUCGAGCCGCCAUUCGUAGCACCGUAGAUCCAUCGCCGAAGUUUUAGAUCUCAUUCCCGGCGAACUUUUCCGGCGAACGUUCGGCGAGCGUUUCCGGCCAUCUCCGGCAUCUCCUACGAAAACCGACACCGCUGCGAGGUUCGUCUCGUCAUCCUCUACACCGGCACGCUAUCCUUUUCUCGAAUCCGUGCUCGUUCAUUGUUUCCCUAACUUUAUUUCUUGUUUUCCGGCGAGAACAUCCAUGAACGCAGUCUUCUUCGUUUCCGGCCACCGCGUUCCUGUGUGGCGUCACCGGUGACCCUGCACCCCGCGUCGCAGUCCCGCGCCACCCCAGCCCGUGCCCCUUGGUCUGCUACUGCAAGCAGGGCAGCAGGCGGCCAUUCAGAUGCCGUGCAGGUGCUCCCUGCCGCCGCUGCCUUGGUGCAGCCAAGCAGGCCCUGCCCCAGCCCCGCACAUGGGUCACCACGGCCACGCGUCGCUGCACCGGUAUCCCGUCGAGGCCCCUCCCUGCCUCUGCUGCGCAGCAGCACCACGUCCACGUUUCUGGAGAUGCAGACUCAAGGUAGAAGAAGAUCAUAUUUACGAUUUUGCCAUUAAACGAAAAUAGAAAUACUUUAUUCAUUUUAACUCCCAUUCGAGUCGUUCCAGUUACGUUAGAUUCGUGUCAUUGCGCUCUACGCAGUAGUAUAAAAGCUUAUUAUAUAACUUAUUUGUAAAUUUAUUGAUUUAAAUAUAAUUAAUAUUUAUCGAAUAGCUUUUAAAUUAGGAACAAUCUAGGGUUGUAAUUCGGUUCUUGUUGCGUUGUGACUAUGUCGGUGUAAUCUAUAUAUUAUCAAUGUUGUUUUCAUUGUCUCGUAUUUAGGAGUAUAAGUAAUCUGAUUAAUGUUUUGAAUGCAUUUCUAUUUAAUUAAGAUAAAAACAAUAUAGGAUUACAUUUCGGUUUCUUUAUAAUCAAAUGUGAACUUAAAUACUUGUUAAUUAUAAUUUGAUUAUUUAAACGUGAAGCACAUAAAUAAUUUAGUAAUACUUAUCUAAGUCUUUUUGAACUUAAAGUAAAUUACAUUUAUAAUUUUGAUCUUUAUAAAUAAAUAAAUAAAUAAAUGCUCACAUUAUUAAUAUUAACUAUAAUGUUUCUUUAUUAAUUAUACCUUGAUUAGUUUAAACCUGACAUAUAAUCACUUGAUUAGUUGUUUUCAUAUAAUCCAUAUUUUAAAACUAUAAAUGCUUAAUUGGCUUUAGUGGUAUAUAAUUAUUUAUAAUAAUUAUGACUAAAGUUUAACUCCAGCUUUUAUAAUUCUUUAUAAUUUGGUCAAUUCAACUUUGAGAUAUUUGUUUAAAAAGUCUAUCACCUUCUUUUAUUAAAUAAAAAUACGACCAGCGUAUAGUCGUCUUCUCCGUUACACUUCGAACCUAGAAAGUCGUGUCCGAUUAACUAUAGCUCCGUUCUCAAUCGUUCUUGCGCUGUCUCGAUCGUAGCAAUAAGCCGUGUCGUUUAGUGCGCUCUUUCUAAGCUUUUCUUUUGAUUGUUGUUUGUUCUUAGUCAUGAUUGUUUGUUUGUCUGUUCGUGUUGCUUGGUUGCUACGAGUAGAAGCGUGGUUCAUCAACCAUGAAGAUCAGGAGCUGAGGACCGACAGUCGAAGCAGAAGUUGGAGAUCAGAAGAAAGAAGCCAAAGAAUUCUGAGCAGAUAUACACUAGGAAUAAAGGCAAGUGCAGACACCGAUUGAUCAUUUUGAAUCUACUCAUUAAUGUCAUUUACUUUACAUGCAUGUGUCUAAUGAAUGCAAACCCUAAGGACAUGACUAGCUUUACUUACCAUUCCUUGUUCAUCUGGGGUUAUGUAUAUGGGUAGUCUAGGCUAUACUAAGUUUGCUUAGCUGCUCUACUCAUCUUAUACACAUGUCUAAACAAGUAAUACUCUCUACUUAACUUGAUGCUUAAACUGUGCUGAACUUUUGGUCACUGCGGUGAUGGCGAUGUUGGAUGCUUACGAGCAUCGUGAUGAUGGUGGUGACAGGGGGAGCGGGUACUGUUGGUGGUCCGGUUUACCGGGCGUACCCGUCUCUGCUCUCCGUAAGGACUUAGUCAGGGAGCGGCCCCCUAGGACAUACAGUGCAGCUCCAAGCUAUAUGGCUCUGGCUUGACUAAUUAGCAGGACCUCCACUAGUAGGGUGUUACUUUCCGGGUAGGCGUGAGGAAGUAACUUGGGUAAUGAAUAUUAAGUUGUCGGUUGAUCGGUACGCUAUGGCUAUGGGUAUCGACUGCCGAGCGCCCCGGCAAAAACUUGCGAGUGGCAUCCUAUUAGUUGGACCUUGUGAAAGGUCUCGUAGUGAGACCCUGCCUGCUCACCUUGGCAGUGUUUUGGGGAGUCAUGACCCCGGGCAAAUGGGAAUCACGACUUGGAGUGAACGUGCACACCUCUAUAGAGUGUAAAACUGAUAUAUCAGCCGUGCUCACGGUCACGAGCGGCCCAGACCCUCACUUGAUGAGCAAAUUGGAUUCACUGGAUACUUGGAGAUGGAACUUGGCGAGGUUGCUACCUCGUGUUUUGGCGGAAUGGCUAUUCCGUGUUGGCAGGAUUGCUAUCCUGUGUUAAUAAUUAGGGUUAAUCCCUGGACUACUAUAAUUAUUAGGAUAGUCAUUUAAAAGAUGCUAAUUACUACUUACACUAAUUAAGGGUUGGGUUUAUGCUACUCAUAAUUAGUAGUAGGUUGUUCUAAUAAUAGUCAUAAUUAAAAGUGAUCAACUAAAAUGCUACCGCAGUCAAACCAAGUCAGCUUUACCUUGUUUUAAGCCUUGCAUGUCAUUACUUUCCGUCUGUGCUUGCUGAGUUCGACAUGAGCUCACCCUUGCUAUUACCCCCACACCCAGAGUGUAGUAAAGUGCUAAUCAGAAGAAGGAUAGAGACGCUAUGGAGUUUUCUAGAAGCUUAUCAGAAGUGUUUGGCGUACGGAGCCCCCAGUCAACCGUCCCUGAGAAGAAUGGAGCCUAAGAAGUUUAGCUACUGUUUCCGUGUACUCUGAUGUUUGUAAGAGUUAUUAUAAAUAUGUUUUCCGCUAUAUAUAACAUUGUUUCUGAUAUUUCUAUUCUUUUGUUGUAUGUGUGGACUUCCUGGACACACAUAUGACGACUCUGGUCUUAUUUUAAAAGCCAAGGUGUGACAUGAUCAGAUUAAUUAUCUUUGUCACCAUUCAUACUUUAUCUAUAUUUUAUGUGACAUUUAUCCUUGUAUGAAAGAGAUAGAUAAAUGCUCUCUAUUACACAUGCAAUGAUAGAUACUCAAUUCCAUAUUUCAUUCCAUAAUCAACAUUGAUGAUUAGCAAUCCCUUCCCAGUGGUAAAAAUAUAAAUAACGAUACCUGGAAUACUUCCCGGUUAAAAUGCUACAUCGGUAUUAAUCUGUGCGCUUGCAAAUCUCAUUUAUUAUUCAUUCAGAAGAGCAAUUGCAUAUUUCAAUACCGCGUCUCUCAUGUCAUGCUGGGGAUGACAACUUGGCUUAAAUGGCAUGAGGGAUAGGUUUGGCAUUUUUGGCGCCGUUAUCAGAAUUAGAAAACUAAGUCUACUUUUGGUAAUGACAUUAAGAAUGCCCAACAAGCAUUUUUGGCGCCGUUGCCGGGGAAGGUUGAUUACUAAUAAGGAAUGAAUACAAAAUUUUGAGUCAUCAUUCGCAUCACUAAUAUGAUUGAGAUUAUCAAUUCUCUCAUACAGCUUUAUCCCUGUAUUCUUCUAUUUUGAUUAUUUUAUGCAGUGUAAUGUAUGAAUAGAAGACAUCUUCUAGGAAAUUUUGUUGACAACCCUGAAGCGUUAUUCAGAAAAACUAAAGCCAAGCUCAGAUCGUCAACACUUCAGCGCAAAGGUUCGUCCAAACCAGAAGACCGCCGAAGUUUGAUUCGGAACUUGUCGACCGAGUUCGAAGCCAUGGCGAACAAGUCGAUCCACGAGUUGUCAGCUCCCACUACAGACAACAUCCGCACUGGACCUGCUGUGGAGAUCGACUGCAACUUUGAGCUCAAGCCUGGGCUCAUCAACAUGGUGCAAGCCAACCAGUUCUGUGGAAAGACACACGAAGAUGCUAGUGCUCAUCUCCAACACUUCCUGGAGAUUUGCAGCACAUUCACCAUGUCAGAAGUCCCUAGAGAUGCUAUACUACUUCGCCUCUUCCCAUUCUCACUGUUGGAGAGAGCGAAGCAGUGGUUCUACGCUACAAAGGAGAAGAAUACUACAUGGGCACUCUGCUCCACGAACUUUCUGGCUAAGUUCUUUCCCAUGGGCAAGACCAAUGCUCUCCGUGGGAAAAUUAUAAGUUUUCGUCAACAACAUGAUGAAUCUGUUCCAGAAGCAUGGGAACGCUUCCAAGACUACAUCCUAGAAUGUCCCCAUCAUGGAAUAGAGAGCUGGCUGCUGAUGUAGACGUUUUAUCAUGGGCUCAGCAAUAGUGCCCGUGAGACCAUAGAUGCUGCAGCUGGAGGAGCAUUCCUAUCACUCACCAUACCACAAGCCACAGCUCUUGUGGAGAAGAUGGCGUCCAACCAAGGUUGGAAUGAAGAAAGGACCCAGACACACAAGAGAGGUGGAGGUAUGCACCAGCUCAAGGAGGUAGACAUGUUGUCUGCCAAGCUAGACCUGCUCAUGAAGAAGCUCGAUGAUAGAGCUGGAGAUAAGAAAGAAGUCAUGCACGUCUACGACUCUCACAUGACUUGUGAGGAGUGUGGAGGUACUGGACACUUAGGCAAUCACUGUCCUGAGAUGCUUGAGGACGUGAACUACAUCAACAACAACAACUACUACUACUACAACCGUCCUCAGCAAAAUCAAGGUUGGAAUCAACAGAGGCCUAACUACUCAGGUAACUAUCAAAGUAACAAUUCUUGCAAUAAUAAUAAUAAUUUUUGACCUCUGAGAGAGUUAGUGUCUAAUCAAGGAAAGCUAAUGGAUAACCUAUCUAAGAAAUUGGCAUCUAAUGAUAAAAUGUUAGAAAAUAUAAAUAAUAGAAUGGAUAAUUUCUCUACUGCCAUCAAGAAUCAAAUUAGCUUUAACAAAAUGAUUGAAUCUCAGUUAAAUCAAAUAGUUGUUGCUGUUUCUGCUACUAACACCGGUAUACCAUCACAACCGGAAGGAUUAGAAUCUACAAAUCUUGUAGACAUGUUUGAUGCAGGUAACUACUGGAGUAACCCCGUUGUGGAAGUAACUACUGACCUUCUGCCGGUCAAGAGAGGCGAUGUAGGAUGCCCCGUCAUCCCGAUCUCCAUCGGCAUGGUGGACUUCCCAGAAGCACUCUGCGACUUUGGCUCUAGCGUCAACAUUAUGCCCAGGGUACUCUACGAAAAAUUCUUUACAUGUCCUUUAUUAGAAACAACCAUGUAUUUGUAGCUUGCAGAUCGGAUACUAAGUUUCCCAAGGAGAAUAUUGAAGAACCUCUGCGUUCGAGUUGGUGCCUUGUACGCCCCAGCAGACUUCGUGGUGAUAGAGACCGGUACUGAUGAGAUGGCACCCAUGAUACUAGGGAGGCAAUUCCUGAACACCUCGAGAGCUGUCAUCUACGCUAGUGCUGCCAAGAUCAGUUUCUACAUCAAGGGGAGGAAGGAGACGUUUUACCUUUACGAACAAGACUGCACAAAUCCCAGAGCAAUCCUGACAUGAACCAAGGAAGACGACCAACAGGAGGAACAGGAACAAGCAAGUGUGGACCAAGUCAUCUAAGAUGGUCACUGCAGUUCAUGGAGGUCAAGAUCGUCGACUCAAGUCACCGUUCCUGACCAAGAAGGACGACCCAGGUAUGCCAAGCAUCUAGUGCUCCAUUAAUGGAUACAACUUCCAGAAGACGCUUUGCGACACCGGGUCGGACGUCAACAUAAUGGUCGCAGUCACCUAUCAUCUCCUGUUCGGAACCAUGCCCCUAAAACCGACAUACAUUCAGCUCCAGAUGGCAGAUCAGACAUUCUGAAAGGUUGAAGGUAUAGUAACUGAUGUCCCUGUCAAAAUAGACGAUCAUUUUGUCCAUACAGAUUUUCAGGUUAUUGACAUGGGAGAAGACGAGUACGAUCCACCCAUCAUCCUUGGGAGACCGUUCCUCAGCACCGUUAAAGCAAUCAUCUACAUUGAAACCGGAGAAGUCAACAUACACUUCCCCUCUGAGAAGGUACGCCGCUAUUUUACUGACCCUAACUAUAUAUAGUUGAAGACUCUAAGCAGGUCAGGACAAGAAGAAGACGACACAACCACAACGAGAGGAGGCAAAUCAUCAAAGACAGAUGGGCAGACUACGAAGGAGAAGUGGUAAGGUCUGAAGACAUACAACUUGAACAGAACUGUCUUGAGGAGACCGUAGCACCAAGUCAGGUGUGGAGAGAGAAGAUAGUUAUACACGAAGAGGAGGCGCUGCCGGAACCACCGACUACGCCAUCCAGCGAAUCCCAGGACGACUGAGAAAACAGAGAGUCCCGUUCGGAGGACAUAAAAACACCGAACGCCCUGCCAAGAGGUAAACUUGGUAGUUAUCCUUUUCCUUUCAAUUAUUUAAAAUAGUUUGCUUAGUUAAUCAGGUUCAUAUCAUCUUGAAAAGAAAAAAAUAAUAAAAAUGUUAAAACCAGUAAGCCCCAUGUGAGUAUACAAGUGGCAUAAAACCCAUAAGUACAUUCACUGUGGUGGCAUAAAAAAAUAAUAAAAUAAAAUAUUCUUCUGCUCUAUAAAAAUAUAAAAAUAAAAUUGUGAUCCUACCAAAGAAAGUAGCAUUUAUUAAAGAGGCUCAACAUGAGAAAGGCUAGAUAUUUAUGCUAACACCUAAUCAGUUCCACAAAGCUUUAUUGUCUAUUUGAGCUCCACAGAAUUCAAGGAUCAAGAAGACUAGCAGACGGAGGACAUUCUAAUAGCUGUCAGGGUGCUACCAACAUUCAAAUACACCUCCACCACCUGCUAGCUGCAUCAGAAGAAAUUACGUCAAAAUCCAGCUUGGGGGAGAGCACCCCCAUUUAUCCAGCUAAGUAUUUCUAUCAACAUUUAUACUUAUACUAUAUUAAAAUAAAAAAUAUAU